rnacentral:rRNA from 1 species
AAUGAACGCUGGCGGCAGGCCUAACACAUGCAAGUCGAACGAGGCAGCAAUGCCUAGUGGCGGACGGGUGAGUAACGCGUGGGAACGUGCCCCUUGGUACGGAAUAGCCCUGGGAAACUGGGAGUAAUACCGUAUGUGGUCGAGAGACGAAAGAUUUAUCGCCAAGGGAUCGGCCCGCGUUGGAUUAGGUAGUUGGUGGGGUAAUGGCCUACCAAGCCGACGAUCCAUAGCUGGUUUGAGAGGAUGAUCAGCCACGCUGGGACUGAGACACGGCCCAGACUCCUACGGGAGGCAGCAGUGGGGAGUCUUAGACAAUGGGGGAAACCCUGAUCUAGCCAUGCCGCGUGAACGAUGAAGGCCUUAGGGUUGUAAAGAUCUUUCAGUGGGGAAGAUAAUGACGGUACCCACAGAAGAAGCCCCGGCUAACUCCGUGCCAGCAGCCGCCGCAG